rnacentral:rRNA from 1 species
GUAAGCUACUAAGAGCGAACGGUGGAUGCCUUGGCUAGUAGAGGCGAUGAAAGACGUGCCAGGCUGCGAUAAGUCUCGGGGAGCCGUCAAGGGGCUUUGAUCCGGGAAUUUCUGAAUGGGGCAACCCAAUACAUAGUGAUAUGUGUUACCAUUAAUGGAGCUAACGCGGGGAACUGAAACAUCUAAGUACCCGCAGGAAGAGAAAUCAAUAGAGAUUACGCUAGUAGCGGCGAGCGAACGCGUAAGAGGGCAAACCACUAGUUUACUAGUGGGGUUGUAGGACCGCAACAUAGACUAGGAUCUGAUAAUAGAACAAUCUGGAAAGGUUAGGCAUAGAGGGUGAUACUCCCGUAUAUGAAAUCACAUCCUUACUUAGCGGUAUCCUGAGUAGGACGGGACACGUGAAAUCCUGUCUGAAGCCGGGUCGACCACGAUCCAACCCUAAAUACUACUACUAGACCGAUAGCGUACAAGUACCGUGAGGGAAAGGUGAAAAGAACGGCGGUGAGCCGAGUGAAAUAGAACCUGAAACCGUUUGCUUACAAUCAUUCAGAGCACUAUGCUAUACUCUUUAAAAUUAAUCCAGCUUGGCUUUUUAGCCCUUUUUUAUGAAACUGCGACUGCGGCAGCCAGAUCCGGCUAGCCUUGUCUUGUUUCAUAAAAAAUCAUCUAAAAAUCCUGCGCAUUUGAAAUUCUAAAUUUUGAUCUGAUAAAAUUUCAUCAUAAACGACACAAACAGAGCUUUAUGGUCUAAAUUUAGAAGUAACGAUUAACGAUUAGUUUUAAUGAGUAUAGCAGUGUGAUGGACUGCCUUUUGCAUAAUGAGCCUGCGAGUUGUGGUGUCUGGCGAGGUUAAGGAAACCCGGAGCCGUAGCGAAAGCGAGUCUUAAUAGGGCGUUUAGUCAGAUGCUGCAGACCCGAAACGAUGUGAUCUAUCCAUGAGCAGGUUGAAGCCGGUGUAAGAGCCGGUGGAGGACCCAACCCGCUGGCGUUGAAAAGCCAUGGGAUGACUUGUGGAUAGGGGUGAAAGGCCAAUCAAACAUCGUGAUAGCUGGUUCUCUCCGAAAUAUAUUUAGGUAUAGCGUCAUGUAGUAACACUAGGGGGUAGAGCACUGAAUGGGCUAGGGCAUACACCAAUGUACCAAACCCUAUCAAACUCCGAAUACCUAGUGUGUAAUCAUGGCAGUCAGGCGGCGAGUGAUAAAAUCCGUCGUCGAGAGGGGAACAACCCAGACUAACAGCUAAGGUCCCUAAAUCUCAUUUAAGUGGAAAACGAUGUGGAGUUACUUAAACAACCAGGAGGUUGGCUUAGAAGCAGCCAUCCUUUAAAGAAAGCGUAAUAGCUCACUGGUCUAGUGAUUUUGCGCGGAAAAUAUAACGGGGCUAAAAUGAGUACCGAAGCUUUAGACUUGCACUUAAUCAUUUAUACUUGGCUUGGCUUUUGAGCGUCUUUAAAUGAGCUCGUAAAAAUAAAUGCUCACGAACUAUAUGUUCGCUCCGCUUUAUUUUUACGUUGCAACAUUUAAAUCCAUCUCAAAAAUCCUGCGCCAUCUUGAGUUCAAAUUUGAACUAAACGUCUUAAUCUAAAAUUCUAUAAAUUUUAAAUUUCUUAGAAUUUUAAAAUUUAGCAACAAAAGCAAAAAGACAAGCAAAGCUUUUAAGAUAAAGGCGAAGUAUUUUUGUCUUUAGGCGAGGCGAAUUUUAGCGAAGCAAGGGAGUUAUCGUUUGGAUAAUGACCGAAGCUGAGCGAAAAUUCAACGAAGCAUAAAGCAAAAAAGACAAGCCGCAAGAAAAGUAUAAAUCAUUAAGUGCAAGUGGUAGGAGAGCGUUCCAAUCAGCGUCGAAGCCGUACCGGCAAGGAGCGGUGGAGCGGUUGGAAGUGAGCAUGCAGGCAUGAGUAGCGAUAAAAUACGUGAGAAUCGUAUUCGCCGUAAACCCAAGGUUUCCUACGCGAUGCUCGUCAUCGUAGGGUUAGUCGGGUCCUAAGCAAAGUCCGAAAGGGGUAUGCGAUGGAAAAUCGGUUAAUAUUCCGAUACCGAUAUCAGUGUGCGACGGAAGGACGCUUAAAGUUAGUGGAGCUAGCGGAUGGAAGUGCUAGUCUAAGGAAGUAGGUUGAGUUAUAGGCAAAUCCGUAACUCUUUAUCCGAGAUCUGAAAGGCUUCUGACGCUCUUCGGAGUAGAUGAAGAAUCCAUGAUACUAUCGAGCCGAGAAAAGUUUCUAAGUUUAGCUGAUAUCGCCCGUACCGUAAACCGACACAGGUGGGUGGGAUGAGUAUUCUAAGGCGCGUGGAAGAACUCUCUUCAAGGAACUCUGCAAAAUAGCACCGUAUCUUCGGUAUAAGGUGUGCCUAACUUUGUGAAGGAUUUACUCCGUAAGCAUUGAAGGUUACAACAAAGAGUCCCUCCCGACUGUUUACCAAAAACACAGCACUCUGCUAACUCGUAAGAGGAUGUAUAGGGUGUGACGCCUGCCCGGUGCUCGAAGGUUAAUUGAUGACGUUAGCUUACGCAAAGCGUCUGAUCGAAGCCCGAGUAAACGGCGGCCGUAACUAUAACGGUCCUAAGGUAGCGAAAUUCCUUGUCGAUUAAAUAUCGACCUGCAUGAAUGGCGUAACGAGAUGGGAGCUGUCUCGAAGAGGGAUCCAGUGAAAUUGUAGUGGAGGUGAAAAUUCCUCCUACCCGCGGCAAGACGGAAAGACCCCGUGGACCUUUACUACAGCUUGACACUGCUAUUGGGAUAAAAAUGUGCAGGAUAGGUGGGAGGCUUUGAUCCAUAGACGCCAGUUUAUGGUGAGCCAUUGUUGAGAUACCACUCUUUUUUAUUCUGAUAGCUAACUAGCUUGAGUUAUCCUCAAGUAGGACAAUGUCUGGUGGGUAGUUUGACUGGGGCGGUCGCCUCCCAAAAUGUAACGGAGGCUUACAAAGGUUGGCUCAGAACGGUUGGAAAUCGUUCGCAGAGUAUAAAGGCAAAAGCCAGCUUAACUGCGAGACAUACACGUCGAGCAGAGACGAAAGUCGGUCUUAGUGAUCCGGUGGUUCUGUGUGGAAGGGCCAUCGCUCAAAGGAUAAAAGGUACCCCGGGGAUAACAGGCUGAUCUCCCCCAAGAGCUCACAUCGACGGGGAGGUUUGGCACCUCGAUGUCGGCUCAUCGCAUCCUGGGGCU